rnacentral:rRNA from 1 species
AGUGAACGCUGGCGGUAGGCCUAACACAUGCAAGUCGAACGGCAGCACAGUAAGAGCUUGCUCUUACGGGUGGCGAGUGGCGGACGGGUGAGGAAUACAUCGUAAUCUACUUUUCGUGGGGGAUAACGUAGGGAAACUUACGCUAAUACCGCAUACGACCUACGGGUGAAAGCAGGUGAUCUUCGGACCUUGCGCGAUUGAAUGAGCCGAUGUCGGAUUAGCUAGUUGGCGGGGUAAAGGCCCACCAAGGCGACGAUCCGUAGCUGGUCUGAGAGGAUGAUCAGCCACACUGGAACUGAGACACGGUCCAGACUCCUACGGGAGGCAGCAGUGGGGAAUAUUGGACAAUGGGCGCAAGCCUGAUCCAGCCAUACCGCGUGGGUGAAGAAGGCCUUCGGGUUGUAAAGACCUUUUGUUGGGAAAGAAAAGCAGCAGGUUAAUACCCCGCUGUUCUGACGGUACCCAAAGAAUAAGCACCGGCUAACUUCGUG